UUUUAGCCCUGAUGGAAACGGCAUCCUUUUUCUGGCGAUCUUUAGCCAGGAAAAGAUAAAGUGUACAGCAGGAAUCAGC
rnacentral:sRNA from 1 species